rnacentral:rRNA from 1 species
CGACGCCGCGUGCGGGAUGAAGGCCUCCGGGUUGUAAACCGCUGUCAGUGGGGAGGAAAUGCAUGGGGGUUCUCCCCCAUGUUCGACCUAUCCGCAGAGGAAGUCCGGGCUAAGUUCGUGCCAGCAGCCGCGGUAAGACGGACCGGACGAACGUUAUUCGGAAUUACUGGGCUUAAAGAGUGCGUAGGCGGCCUGGCAGGUUGGGUGUGAAAUCCCUCGGCUCAACCGAGGAACUGCGCUCAAAACCGCCAGGCUUGAGGGAGACAGGGGGUGAGCGGAACUGAUGGUGGAGCGGUGAAAUGCGUUGAUAUCAUCAGGAACACCGGUGGCGAAGGCGGCUCACUGGGUCUUCACUGACGCUGAGGCACGAAAGCUAGGGUAGCGAACGGGAUUAGAUACCCCGGUAGUCCUAGCUGUAAACGAUGAGCACUUGGUCGAGGGGACCUCCACAUCCUCUCGGCCGGAGCGAAAGCGUUAAGUGCUCCGCCUGGGGAGUAUGGUCGCAAGGCUG